rnacentral:rRNA from 1 species
GUGGGGAAUAUUGGACAAUGGGCGAAAGCCUGAUCCAGCCAUGCCGCGUGUGUGAAGAAGGUCUUCGGAUUGUAAAGCACUUUAAGUUGGGAGGAAGGGCAGUAAGUUAAUACCUUGCUGUUUUGACGUUACCGACAGAAUAAGCACCGGCUAACUUCGUGCCAGCAGCCGCGGUAAUACGAAGGGUGCAAGCGUUAAUCGGAAUUACUGGGCGUAAAGCGCGCGUAGGUGGUUUUGUAAGUUGGAGGUGAAAUCCCCGGGCUCAACCUGGGAACGGCCUCCAAAACUGCAUUGCUAGAGUACGGGAGAGGGUAGUGGAAUUUCCUGUGUAGCGGUGAAAUGCGUAGAUAUAGGAAGGAACACCAGUGGCGAAGGCGACUACCUGGACUGAUACUGACACUGAGGUGCGAAAGCGUGGGGAGCAAACAGGAUUAGAAACCCCUGUAGUCC